rfam:Cavia porcellus supercont2_28 genomic scaffold, whole genome shotgun sequence.
GGGGAUUUAGCUCAGUGUUAUAAGCACCUGCCUUGCAAGCAUGCAGUCGUGAGUUCAAUCCCCA